UGUCCUCAAGUAUGACUUACGACCUCGGAUAGAGUCUAUUGGAGGGCAUGGAUCCAUGUACCAGACCCCAUUUAGCUGAGAUUCUCUUAACUUGCUAGGUUGUGCCUCUUUCCUCUUACUUUAAUCUUUAAUCUUUCAUUUUU